CUUUGGUGAAGGAGGGGGGACACAGCCAUCCCUGGAGGUCCGGUGGUGGUAAGUAUUGUAGGAAGCAGCUCUCAUAUCCUCCCGUGUGAUGCUGUGUGGAGCAUUGCCAUCGUAACGCACGGCAACGCUCCACACAGCUUGCUCGCAGGAGGAUAGGAGACCUGCUUCCUAGAGCCCUCCCCCUGUCUCCCGACCCGGAAGCAGAGUAGGCCCCCCUCUCCCGGCGACCUUUGGCCGCAUGUCCACAGAGAGGGCCAGGCGUGCCACCUGUGGCACGCGUGCCAUAGGUUCGCCAUCACUGGAUUAGCCUCACUGCAUUAUUCACUAAAGUGAUAAUGAAAAAAGUGAACAACAAGUUUAAAGGGACACUAUAGUCACCAAAACUAUUUUAGCUUAAUGAAGCAGUUUUGUUGUAUAUAUCAUGCUCCUGCAGUCUCGCUGCUCAAAUCUAAAUCUAAUCUUAAAGCCAUUUAGGAGUUAAAUCACUUUGUUUAUGCAGCUCUAUUGACAGUUCCCUGCAUGUGACCUACCCAGCCUUUCUAAAAACUAUGAAGAAUCAUCUAAUGUUUAUACUUCCUUUAUUGCAAAUUAUGUUUAAUUUAGAAUUUCUUAUCUCCUGCUCUGUUAAUAACUUGCUAGACCCUGCAGGAGUCUAAUGUGUCUGAUUAAAGUUACAUUUACAGAGGAGGAGAUAAACAAUUUUAAGUAAGUUAUAUCUGUUUAAAAGUGAAAUAAUUUUUUUCAUGCAGGCUGUGUUUGUCACAGUCAGGGGAGCUGUGGCUAGAGAUUUAUGGCCGGGGAAAAAAAAAGUGAUUUAACUCCUAAUUGGCAGAGAAUUGAGCAGCGAAACUUCAGAGGCAUAAUCUAAACACCAAAACUGCUUUAGUAAGUUGAAGUUUAUUUGGUGACUAUAGUGUCCCUUUAAAGGGACAUUACACUGCCCCCAAAAAAAUAAAAAAAAUUUAACUUAAAAAAACCCCCAAACAAACAACCACAAUCACUAUUCAGUAGCUAUAUCCCCAAUGAAUACUUGCAUGCAUUUAAUUAUGCAUUUUUUUCAUUGGGAUAUAUGAUAUAUGAUACAGCUUCUUUUGUCUCCUGCCUUUACAAGCCCUCCUCUUUUAACCCCGCCCAGACUGAGACUAUCCAAUCACAGACUUCCCAAUGCAGCUCUCUAAUAAGUCUUUGCUUGGCAGGUGCUCUGGGCAAUUGCUGCCUCGAGUUCAGUGCAAAUAGACCAACCAAAGCAGGAAGUAAUAAGACUCGUUGUCUGCUUGAAAAGACAGGGGAUGUAACCAGUAUAAUUUAUAAAAAAAGUGUCAAUUUCUAUUGAAAUCUGCAAUAUUUCCAAAAUGAAAAAAAGAGGACACACUUCACAC